UCCACUACCUCACUACAACCCAUAACCCAUACUGAAUGAUUUCAUAACUAUAUGAAAGCCUAUAUGUUAGAACUAGUAACAAGAAGAUAGCCCUUCUCCAAAAUGUAAGCAUAAGCCAAAAUGAACUAUUCACUGGCAAUUAAAGUCAAUAAACUAUUAGUAGUAACCCAACAAGAAAAACCUACUAAUCAUAACGUUAACCUUACACAAGCACAUUUCUGGAAAGAUUAAAAGGACGGGAAGGAACUCGGCAAACUAUUAACCCCGCCUGUUUACCAAAAACAUCGCCUCUUGCUUCCCAUAAGAGGUCCAGCCUGCCCAGUGACAAAGUUAAACGGCCGCGGUACCCUAACCGUGCAAAGGUAGCGCAAUCACUUGUUCUUUAAAUGAGGACUAGUAUGAACGGCAUCACGAGGGUUAUGCUGUCUCCCCAACCCAUUCAGUGAAACUGAUCUCCCCGUGAAGAAGCGGGGAUAAAAAUAUAAGACGAGAAGACCCCAUGGAGCUUUAAACUCAGAAUCAACUGCCACACAAAAUAACCUAAUAUUCAUGCAACCCUGAUUUCUAGUUUUCGGUUGGGGUGACCACGGAGUAAAAACUAACCUCCACGGUGAAAGGAAGUAACAACCUAAACCAAGAGCCACAGCUCUAAGUAUUAACAAAUUAACUAACUGAUCCAAUUGCUUGAUCAACGAACCAAGUUACCCUGGGGAUAACAGCGCAAUCCAUUUCAAGAGCUCAUAUCGACAAAUGGGUUUACGACCUCGAUGUUGGAUCAGGAUAUCCCAGUGGCGCAGCCGCUACUAACGGUUC
rnacentral:rRNA from 1 species